AAGGGUUUACAAAUGGCAUCAGUCAUUUCCUAUAGCCGACCUGCCAUUUUUUCACAUCAAAUAAAAGGAGGUCAGGAAAAGACGUGUGGAUAAAGGCUCUCUGCUUCACCAAACAUGCUUGCUCAUCUCACUAAUCAUUUUUAAAAAGCUGGAUUAUUUAUCUAAACUGCUUGGCUUUAUAUUACCGACCCUAACUCCUCUCCUUGUCUCUACUAUAGUCAUCCCGUAAACACCGCAAGAGGCAGGACUGCUCACAAUAAAACAUUGUUUAGGGCAUCUUAAGAGGAAAGCACUUUGAAUUGAUAUUCCCAUUCCUAUCCUCAUAAUGAGAUUUACAGGUGACUUAAAAUUUUUUUCUUUUGUGUAUUUGCUCAGCACUUAGCACAUUACAGACAUUCUGAAGAAUGGAGCACGUUCCAUUAAACAAUUCGAUAAAAGUAACGUGUAACUAAGUGUAAGUCGUGCAACCUGGUGCUUAGUGCCCCCACUGUGGCUGUAGGAGCACAGACCGUGUCUGUCCUGUUUGUUCUUCUACCGGUGGUACCCGGCACAUAGCAGGUGCUCAAUAUACAUCUGAGGAAUGACGAAACAAUGCCCAGACUCUCUUUGGGUGACUUUGCUUGCCGUGGUUAUCCUAAGGGCACAACAAAGUAAUACUCCCUCCAUGACUACUUGGGCUCAUGAGUUAAUGUUUGCAAAGCGCUUUGAACUUCUUGGGGAAAAGAAUGGUGUUUUUGUUGGCACUGUAUCGUGUUUGCAGUGGCACAUGAAUUACUCCUCCUUCUCUUCCUCCAGCUGCUCUCACUGUGCCCUCCCCCAGCUCCAUGCCAGGCCAGGAUCUCGCAGAGGACAGCUGCACUGCUCUUCCUGCCUUCCUCCAGCCCACUCCAGCCCUCGAGAAGAGGGACUGGAAAUGAAUGUUUGUCAAGAAAAACUAACCUGGUUUCCUGUUUAAAAGACCACGUAAACGAUGACUCUUUUGCUUCAAAGAAAAAUCUCAGAAUGUUAGUGUCCUGCGGUAUUGGAGGGGGCUGUAAGCUCACAUAGAGAAGCCAGCAGGAAGGCUGCCUGCCCGGCUUGGAGACCAGAGGAAAUCACUGUCUGAGAUUUGCCAAUCAAAGUUCUAUGGUAAGUUUGAGUUUGGAAUGUGUGGGUGGAUUCUCAUUUUGCGUUAUUUUGUUGCGGUCGGGAGGGUAUGAAGUGAACAAGGUUUAAUGAAGUGUUAUAUAUUAAGAUAAAUGAAAUAUUAAGGGAGUUAUUGCUGGGAAUUCUUCAUUCAAAUGUUUAAUGCGUAAGCUGAUUGGCUUUUUCAGGUUUCUUUCCUAAAUAUUUAGGACUUCUACUUUUUGAUAUUCAGUCUCUCUUUUUUGUUCUUGCUAUUCUCGUUACUAGAAUUCUACUUUUUCUUUACUAAUAGGGUCAGCGGAUUUGGUGGUGGGGAUGAAUUCUGUAGAGGCAGUUGCUGAGUUUGUGACAACCUGGCUAUUUUUGGUCAUAGCCAGAAGGCCCAAUAAAUAUGGGAGUGUGAUAUUACAGCAAGGAAAAGGGAAAAGAGAAAGGAAUGGACUAGAAAGGUGGAAGUUCUUCUUAAGAGAAAAGAAAAGAAAGAGCUGGUGAGGUGCCAGUUUAAGUUGGCUAAGCCCUGGAGCUCAAACAUGUUACCCUAGUGAGGAAGACAGUGUAAGGCUGCUCAUGGAAAUUCACUGAGAGAGAGUGUGUGUGUGUGUGUGUGUGUGUGUGUGUGUGUGUGUGUCCUUAGCCUUGUAUCAUGAACAAAGAACAAACAAUCAAAUGUUUAUUGAACAAGAAAGUUAUCUCUUUCUGUAGCUGCUACAAGAAAUAAAAAGGUCAGCAAACUAGUUGCUUUCAGGUCCGUUUUGUGUGAUGGGCUUGAAGAAGGUAAGCAGAACCCAGACAGAGGCAGCUGAAACCCAGUCAAGUUGCAGCCAGAAGGUGAGCCGUGAGCAGAUCACCAAGUGUUCCCUCAAAGCGUCAUUACUGUAGUCACACUUUUAGGUUAGACCACCAGGGGUCAGGGCAUUGUCGCCAGGAAAGUUUUGUUAAAGGACACUGGGUGUCAAAGGCACAGGGCAAUGGAUCUCAAACUUUUAAGAAUAACAAGUGUUCGAGUUCCUGGUUCCUCGGUUUUACUUGAAGUGAUUCUGAUUCAGGAAGUUGGGGUGGGAGGUGGGGGAAUAUCCCUGGGAAUCUUCAUGUUGUAAAAGAUGCAGGUGUUGAAGGACCUCACUUUUGAGAAAAAUGUGUGGGGUUUCUCUAGCUUGUUUUUUUUUAAUAAUAAUAUUUUUUUAUUAUAUUAUGUUAGUCACCAUACAGUACCUCCUAGUUUUUGAUAUAAAUUACUUGCGUAUAACACCCAGUACGCCAUGCAAUACGUGCCCUCCUUAAUACCCAUCACAGGCCUAUCCCAUUCCCCCUAGCUUGUUAACCUCAUUAGAGGACUGUUGGUUUGGAGACCGCCAGGAGCCUGGCUCUGAGAGAGACUCAUGGCCGUUGAGAUGAAGAGGCGGCGCCUUUAUCACACAGACCUGGGUUUGCAUCCCCUGUGGCUUCGCACAAAAUACUUUGCUUAUCUGAAAUUCAGGUUUCUCCUUUUUAAAAGAGGACAACCAUAUUGUCUACCUCUGGGAUAUACAGAAAUAAUGCGCACAAGGGCUUAGGAGAGCAGCACAAAAUAAUGCAAUUAGUAAAUACUAGCUCUCGUGGUGGGGAGAGAAGGGAAAUGUCAGUGAUAAGUCCUCUAUGGCCAGGAAAAUGGUUUGGGGCAGACAGAGCUAAGGUGUAACCAACGAGGAGGCUAGUUCUUGGAUCUUGGGGGUCCAGGGCAAGGUCUGAAAAUAGAGCAUAGACCGGAAGGUGCACAAACGUGAGGGUGGGAGACACACUUUCUUACCAUUACAAAGGUUUCCCAAGAGUGGUAAUAAGCAACCCAGAUGGCAUGGUUAAUUGGAAUUAUAAUUGAUCCCCAAAUAGUAUUCAAGUCAAUAGUUAAUUGAUUUUCCUCAAGAAAACCUUAUAAGAACUUCUAGAAGGGAACAAAGUGAAAUGCAUCAAAUUCAGUGAUUUGUUCAUAUCUGCCACCCACUCUACAUGGAAGGAGUAAUGAAUGACAAGAAAAAUGGAAAGGAACAGGGACCACAAAUCAUAAGGCUGUAAUGAAAUGAAAUCCUUUUCUGGUAAUUCAGUGUGAUGUCAGGUCGUACUGAACCGGCUGGCUCGCUUGCGUGUGACUGUUGCCAGGUGCUCUCCCAAGAUGAAGCAUGAAGGGUAGAGGAAACAGUUAGGUGCCUUUCUUCAAAGACAAAGAUAAAAUUUAGAGGCAUUUAAAUGUAUGCUGUGACUGAAACAGCCAACAAAUUAAUGGAUGGGGGAUAUGAAGGACCGGUGGGGGUAGGAUGCCACCAGACUGUCCCUAGGCAAGUCAGUUAGCCUCUUUGGACCUUACUUUCCUCCCUAAGUGCUCUUCUAGUCCUGAUGCAUUGUGAUAAGGCAUAGAUGGUGGGACAAAUCCCAAUGCUCUCACAUUUUCACCUGGGAAGUAGUCCCUAAAUUAUGGUACCUAAGUUAUUACCAAAUGCUAGCUAUUUUGAAGAAUUUUGUUUACUCUGAAAUACAAAUUUAUCAGUGAUUUUCCAUAAACUCAAAUUUCAACUGAAGUAAUUUAACCAGAGCUGUUAUUUCUCUGGAUGUUACUGAUAUCUUCUCAGUGAAUAAUCAUGAUAAUGCAUGGUAAUGACAAAUUAAUUAUGAAGAAAGAAAUGCUAACAGUAGCCACCAUUUUUUGAGCACUUCCGAUCUCCUAGGUAUCAGGCUUGAUAUAUUUCCUCUUUGACCCUUAUACUAAUUCUGUUAGGAGACAUCAUUGUGGCAAUUUUCUAUGAGGAUUUUAAGAAGUCACAGAGGUAGCAAAUAGUAGAGUUGGAAUUAGAAUCCAGGUCUUUCCAAUUCUAAAAUCCACGUUUCCAGUCCUGUGAUAUACCAUAAAUCUGCUCUACUAAGUGCAUUUGUAGUAAGCCUGUAGAGUUUGCUCCUUGAUUCACGGUCUUCCAUUAUUCAAAAAUACAAUGAGAAGUGUGUGUUCUUGUCCUCCUCCUUCACUUUUCACUUGUGAGCACUUUAGGGGAGCACUUUUCCUAACAGCAAUAUCAUUUAUCUGUCUAUCAUCUAUCUAUCUAUCUAUCUAUCUAUCUAUCUAUCUAUCUAUCUAAUUUUUACUUUGAGCAAUGAGUUAACUGACUAGUCUGAACUUGCCAGCAGGCAUAUACAUAAAAGUAACAAUUUUUUUCUUCUCCAGUUACUUAAGCUUGGUCAAGUUUCCCCUUUCCCUGGGCAGACACCAUGAUCUUUGUUUUUUCUAUAAAAAUGAAAACAAAACAAAACACAACUGACUCUGUGCUAUAAAAACUCAAUCUCAGUCCAAUUUAAAAGUAUCUCCUUUGACAUCAUCCAUCAGUAUAAGGUCUUAGAAUGAAAGGAUGGGCUGUAGUGUGUCUCUGGGAUACCAUCUCUCUCUCCCUCACCCAGCUACUAUGGUUUGAGGAGAUUUGGGGUAGGGAGGAAGGAGAAGAAAAGGACAAGUUUCUCACAUUUCAUGGUGAAGUUUUCAUCCUUCCUCUGUUCAAGAUUUUGACUCUUUCUCUGGUUGAUGUUGAGCGGUGGGCUGAGGCCCUGUGUAUGGUAGGCAGCCACAUGACAGUUUUCAGAGUGCCCUUUGAGGGCCUCUCCAAAUUACUGAAAUGGGAGAUCCAGCUCCAGGAAGAUCUUAUACAUGGAAGAUCCUACCAC